GGCCUUGUAGCUCAGUUGGACAGAGCAACAGCCUUCUAAGCUGUGGGUCAGGCGUUCGAGUCGCCUCAAGGUCACCA
rnacentral:tRNA from 1 species